rnacentral:rRNA from 1 species
AACGCGAAGAACCUUACCGGGGCUUGACAUCCUGCGCUAACCUAGGAGACUAGGUUUCCGGGCAACCGGACGCAGAGACAGGUGCUGCAUGGCUGUCGUCAGCUCGUGCCGUGAGGUGUUGGGUUAAGUCCCGCAACGAGCGCAACCCUUACUCGUAGUUGCUACCCGCAAGGGAGAACUCUACGAGGACUGCUCCGGAUAACGGAGAGGAAGGUGGGGAUGACGUCAAGUCAGCACGGCCUUUAUGUCCAGGGCUACACACGUGUUACAAUGCACGGUACAGACUGUUGCGAACCCGCGAGGGGGAGCUAAUCGGAUAAAACCGUGCUCAGUUCGGAUUGCAGUCUGCAACUCGGCUGCAUGAAGCUGGAAUCGCUAGUAAUGGCGUAUCAGAUCGACGCCGUGAAUACGUUCCCGGGCCUUGUACACACCGAGACGUA